UACGUAGGGCGCAAGCGUUUGUCCGGAAUUAUUGGGCGUAAAGAGCUCGUAGGCGGCCAGUUGCGUCCGCUGUGAAAUCCCAGGGCUUAACCCUGGGCGUGCAGUGGAUACGGGCUGGCUGGAGGCAGGCAGGGGAGAACGGAAUUCCCGGUGUAGCGGUGGAAAUGCGCAGAUAUCGGGAGGAACACCGGUGGCGAAGGCGGCUCACUGGCCCGAUACUGACGCUGAGGCACGAAGGCCAGGGGAGCAAACGGG
rnacentral:rRNA from 1 species